rnacentral:lncRNA from 1 species
GGAAAACAUUUGAAAACUUCCUUUAAAGAUGCUCACUAUUUUUUAUUAAGUCUUUUAUGACUCUUUUUUCAAAGAUUAGAUAAACAUAACCCUGGAGUCUCUACAGGAGACAUUUCCCUUUUUUCUUAUCACAAUCAGGGCUUUGUUUCUCGUGCUGCAAAAUGGGUUAUUACUAGAACCAUUAAUCUGGAUUUCUGUUGCUGGUGGUUUUUCAGUUCCAGGUUCCAUCUGAAGUCCCAAUAUUUGGGAAAUCCAUUGGAGGAGCUGGCGGACCUGUUCAGAGUGUUGUAAAUUAGUUCCAGUCUCCACGAGCCUGCUGUGACUAAUUGAUGUGACCUGGAAGUGGAUAAAGUCCAUAACAGUAAGAUCAACUUUUCCUCUGGUAAUUUGACAAAUAGAGCCCUUUUUAAAAGUCUCGUGUAAGCUCCAUUCCCCAUUUGUUCUGUCGUGAUGGGCAUCGUUUCCGUGUUGGAGUGAUAAUGAUUUUCCAGAUUUCUGCUGAUUUGUAGAGCAGGUGCCUUUAUUUAUUAAUGCCAGAAGAAGGGAAAGAUUCAAGAGCACCAACAAAAACAGAAUUCCUGGCAACAGCUGUAUAUCAAAGCCAUUCUUUAUCCAGUUACCUUGCUGUUUUCCUCCUCCUGCACUGUGGAGAUGUGCAGGAAGGCUGGUGGUUUGCAGAGUCGCUCCAGCUCAUUUAUUUCCUACAGCCACAGGGAAAUCAGGAAAUCUCAGUGUUGUGUGGGCUUCUGCUCUUGCAGAAGGGGCUGCUGGAAUGGGAUCUGUGCAGUGGAAGCUCCUGGAAACUCCACGUUGCUGCCUAAUGAAUUUUUUAAGAAGAAUUUUAGGCAGCCACUCUAAGCACUGUACUGAUUAACAGCCCAGAGGAUCUGGUGCUUUCUCUUCUCCUGGCUUUUCUCCACUCCUGCUCUCGGAGCUGCCCUGAAGUCUCGCUCCGAGGCCCGGCUGCUGCUGCUGUGCUGACGGCCCUGCUCCAGAGCACACCUCCAAACACACCAUUCCCUGCCCCAUCCAAAACUUUGGCUUCCAGACAAACACAAAGGAACACGGCUCCAAACACCAGGAUCAAUCCCCUCAAUAAAAUUUCAUGCAUUUUCA